UAGACAUAUGCACGGACAGAUGUGUACUAGUAGAAUGUGUACUCAUUUAUACAGUUUAGCUUUACAAACUGUUAAAGUUACUUAUGCUGCAUCAGAUCUUACAUUCAUGCUGUCAAGUAGGAGAGAGGAAAUGAUGAASACCUGGGAGGAGGACUGAUUGAAGAUUGCAGACAGCUCGGUGCAAUCCAGGGAAGUGUUGGGGCAGGAGCAAGCUGGAGCUGCUGUGAGCCGGGGAGAUAGAAUGAAGCUGGAAACAAGCUGUUGGAAACUGUCCAGCUUGGGUCCACAUAAUGGAUGGGGAUUAUCAGAACUGUUUACCAGUG